CAAGGUGCUGCAUGGCUGUCGUCAGCUCGUGCCGUGAGGUGUCGGGUUAAGUCCCAUAACGAGCGCAACCCCUAUCAUUAGUUGCUAACAGGUUAAGCUGAGGACUCUAGUGAGACUGCCACCGUAAGGUGUGAGGAAGGUGGGGAUGACGUCAAGUCAGCACGGCCCUUAUAUCCGGGGCUACACACGUGUUACAAUGGUCGAUACAAAGGGCAGCUACACCGCGAGGUGAUGCAAAUCUCUAAAGUCGAUCUCAGUUCGGAUUGAAGUCUGCAACUCGACUUCAUGAAGUUGGAUUCGCUAGUAAUCGUGCAUCAGCAACGGCACGGUGAAUACGUUCCCGGGCCUUGUACACACCGCCCGUCAAGCCAUGGAAGCUGAGGGUACCUGAAGUCUGUAACCGCAAGGAACGGCCUAAGGUAAAAUUAGUAACUGGGGCUAAGUCGUAACAAGGUAGCCGUACCGGAAGGUGUGGCUGGAACACCUCCUUUUUAGAG
rnacentral:rRNA from 1 species